UUGACGAAUGCAAAGCGUCCCCUUGUGGAGAACAAGGGACCUGCACCAACACGGCAGGUAGCUUUACCUGUGCCUGUAACCAGGGAUACGAUAACAACGAUGGCUGCAAAGAUAUAGACGAAUGUGCGGUGGGGACACCGUGCGGUAACAACGCUAACUGCAGCAACACGGUUGGCAGCUACACGUGCGCAUGCGCGCCAGGAUGGGCGAACGACGGGCCGACAAACUGUGUCGAUGUAGACGAGUGUUUGAGACAGCCCUGUUCUCUUGGCGCCGUCUGCGAAAAUACAGACGGGGGCUUUCAGUGCAAGUGCCGAGGUGCCGUCGUUUUACCAGGUGAUAGUUGUGUAGGUGAGUUCUGUUUCCUCAACAUUUCUAGAUAUAGAAUAAUGGGGUAAUGUUAUCCUCUUAGUAUUGGCCAAUAGACUAUCAAGUAUUAGUACAUUUGUAAU